GGACCCGCACCUAGAGAAGGGCUUCCCUUCGGGGGCAGAGUGACAGGUGGUGCAUGGUUGUCGUCAGCUCGUGUCGUGAGAUGUUGGGUUAAGUCCCGCAACGAGCGCAACCCUUGAUCUUAGUUGCCAGCAUUCAGUUGGGCACUCUAAGGUGACUGCCGGUGACAAACCGGAGGAAGGUGGGGAUGACGUCAAAUCAUCAUGCCCCUUAUGACCUGGGCUACACACGUGCUACAAUGGGCAGAACAAAGGGCAGCGAAGCCGCGAGGCUAAGCCAAUCCCACAAAUCUGUUCUCAGUUCGGAUCGCAGUCUGCAACUCGACUGCGUGAAGCUGGAAUCGCUAGUAAUCGCGGAUCAGCAUGCCGCGGUGAAUACGUUCCCGGGCCUUGUACACACAGA
rnacentral:rRNA from 1 species